rnacentral:rRNA from 1 species
AUGAAAAUUGAAAUUUUUUUUUUGGAAUUGUGGAGCCUCCGUUCUGAAAUAUAUGACGUUUUGAUAGGCUCAGAGGCCAACAUUUUGUCACCUAUUCCGCUACGUGCAGCCCGGCUAAAGACAAGCUUCUAUGCGGAUGAUGCUGCCCUAUUUGUUAACCCUUGCCCCUCUGAAUUGGGGGGCCUGAGGCGUAUCUUGACAAGAUUUGGGGAAAUUUCGGGUCUGAAAGUGAAUGAGGCAAAGAGUGUCAUAUACCCAAUACAAUGCCACAAUCUCGAUGUUCAGGGCCUAACCCAAGGUUUCGGAGGGGUGCAUGGUGUUCUUCCUUGCAACUAUCUGGCACUACCACUCUCCUUCGGCAAGUUGAGACUCAUUGAUCUGCAACCGUUGCUGGAGAAAGGGGCUGCCAGAUUGAGGGCAUGGAAAGGAAAGCUGCUUCAGAGGACCGGCCGUUUAUCUUUGAUCAAUUCUGUCCUUACAAACAUGGUAACAUAUUUUUUGAUGAUUUUUGCUCCGUACAAAUGGUUUGUUAAAAAGCUUGACAAGAUGAAAACGAAUUUCCUAUGGAACGCCGAUGAGGAGGCUCAUGGUGGGAAGUGCUUGGUAAAUUGGAAACGCAUCUGUGCACCCAAGGCUGUCGGUGGACUUGGCAUCAAAGAUCUUACCGCCUUCAGCAGAGCACUGAGAUUGAGGUGGCCUUGGUUCGGAUGGGAUAAACCAAGAUAG